rnacentral:tRNA from 1 species
GGAGUUGUGGCUCAGUGGUAGAGCACUUGCCUAGCAUGUGUGAGGCCCUGGGUUCCAUCCUCAGCACCA